rnacentral:rRNA from 1 species
AUUGAACGCUGGCGGCAUGCCUUACACAUGCAAGUCGAACGGCAGCACGGGAGCAAUCCUGGUGGCGAGUGGCGAACGGGUGAGUAAUGUAUCGGAACGUGCCCAGUCGUGGGGGAUAACGCAGCGAAAGCUGUGCUAAUACCGCAUACGAUCUAUGGAUGAAAGCGGGGGACCGUAAGGCCUCGCGCGAUUGGAGCGGCCGAUAUCAGAUUAGGUAGUUGGUGGGGUAAAGGCCCACCAAGCCGACGAUCUGUAGCUGGUCUGAGAGGACGACCAGCCACACUGGAACUGAGACACGGUCCAGACUCCUACGGGAGGCAGCAGUGGGGAAUUUUGGACAAUGGGCGCAAGCCUGAUCCAGCAAUGCCGCGUGCAGGAUGAAGGCCUUCGGGUUGUAAACUGCUUUUGUACGGAACGAAACGCUCCUUUCUAAUACAAGGGGGUAAUGACGGUGCCGUAAGAAUAAGCACCGGCUAACUACGUGCCAGCCGCCGCGGUAAAAC